GCAAAUGGCUAUGUUUAUUCGGUUAUCGGAAGAGAACGGGCGCCCUUAGCUUCAACCGAGGACAUGUUUACCGAGGACAAAAACACGUCAUCACAGUUAGGAGGCAAAGCUAUUGCUGUCCCUGGAGAAAUCCAAGGUUUUUAUGAAGCGUGGAAAAUAGGAGGUCGGCUGCCCUGGAAGCAGUUAUUCUUACCAACUGUAAACUUAUGUAGAAAAGGCAUAACUGUAGUAAAAAGCGCUCCGUCGUGCUAUUACUAAUACAGAAAGAUUUCUCGAACAGUUUCAGUCAUUCAGAGAUUUCCUAACGAAUCCAGAUACUGGAGAGAUAUAUCAAGAGGGUGACACAAUGUUCCGUCUACGACUUGCAAACACAUUAGAGGUUAUAGCAGAGGAAGGACCAAAUGCAUUUUAUGGAGGAAGUCUUACCGACUCUAUACUUGCUGAAAUAGCUGACGCAGGUUUUAAAGUCCGUGAAAAACGAGGGUUGUAGUCACACGGCUUUGCAUUAUUACACCAUGUGAUAGAAAAGGACAGUGUUGUACUUGAACAUUUUAAAGAUCAUAUAAAUGUGUUUCUAUAUUGCAAAUAUACGGAAAUUAAACUUGUUCACUAUAAUAUGUGUAAUUUCCGAAAUAAUUCUUAUCAAUUAUGUACAGAGCUUAAGUUAAGGACGGACCUUCGUUACUCUUUCGACAAUAUAAUGCAAUGAGGAGACUUUAUUGAAUUUAGAAAUUGUGGUUUCAAAAACACAUAUUGUAUAUUAUGAAAUGUGAACGAAUCACCGUCCAGAAUUCCUAGGAAUACGUGAAAUAAUGAUAAUAAUAGUGAUAUUUAGUAGUAACCUUUGGACACUAGUCACUCUGCUUUAAUACAUUUUAAGCUACUUUUGCGUCUAACCGAUUACAGAUUUUGAAUAUCUUAUUCGUUGAUUGUUGCAGAUCUAAUGAUAGUUUCUGCAAACAAAGAAGCUGGGUAGACAAAACCUUAUAUGAAAAGUGUUGAGAGCCUUUUAUGAAAUUUCUUCCAAGCCUUUCCCCGAAAAUUCACAAUUAAAUUUUAUUUUAUGGUGAUAAUAAUCAUCUCUUGCUGUCGUGAACUUCCCACGUCAAAGUGAAAA